AUUUUGAUAAUCAUGUUAAAAAUAUAGGUAAUUAUAGUAGGAAUGUUUUAAAUCAAUUGACUGGUAAGAAAAAUAAAAUAAUUCCAUCUUUUUUGGAAACAGGUGAUAAAUUUAUAACUAAGCCAAUAGAUAUUGCAAAUUAUCUUAAUGAUUAUUGUAUAAGAAAAUUAGAUAAACUAAGUGAAAAUAUGCCUAAUCUAUGUAAUGAUAUAUCUCACCUAUUAAUAAGAAAUGAACUGAUGAAAAAUAAAAACUUAAGGUUUAAAUUAGAAAGUGUAAAUAUAGAUCAAGUAAAGAAUCUUUUAAUAGCCUGUAAAAACAAACCACCGGGUGUCAACGGUCUUGACAGCAGGCUUCUUAAACUAGCUGCUGACUCUAUUGCCCCUGUUCUAACCCACAUCAUUAACCUCAGUACUUGGAACCCACCGGGAAGACACAGACCCCACUGGACCCGAUUGUCACAUAUUCCACCUUAAAUUGCUAUUACAAGUCAAUAAAUCGGUUUCGAAAAAUGCAUGCUUUUUGUCUUACCUAAUUUAAGGAGCCGUAGUUUUUCUUCCUUGUACCUGACUGUCUGUGAUGCAUUACAAUCCUCCGACAAGAAAGUUAUGAAUGUUAUUCUUCUCGUUAUUCCAAGUCCAAGCUUAAUCCACUCAUUAUUUCAGCUUCAAGAGUCCGCUUGAUGUCACGGUGACGAAUGACAAAUGCAACUGUGCACAUGUAUAUACAUUCUGACUCGAGUUAGCUCGCAUAAUAACUUCGACUGUUUACCCUUUUUUCUUUCUUUUUUUGGAUCACACUUUUCUUUUCCUAAUUUUACAAGUUGUAAGUUACAAGAAAACAGUGUCUGAUCACGUUCGGGUGUUCUCCGAGUCCGAUGACUCCGAUCGCACGGGUAUAACACACAAUGUUAAACAGACCCGGGACCCGAAGUAAUAGAUUUGGACCCGACCCGGACCCGGCCGAUCAUUUAAAAUAUAGACCCGAACCCGUGCGGGUCCCGGGUGCACUGUGAAGACCUCUAGCUCGAGUUACCCAGCACGUAGGUAUUAGUGUAGUGCUGUGUACCACAGUUUGCAGAAUACACCCUAAGCACCUCUGACAUCACUAGUUCAGUGAAAAAAGUAGUUCAGUUCAGUGUAGUUCAGAGAAAGUGAAACGACCUUGAUCAACAACAAUACUGGACGCCAGAAACCAUCGAACUCUUUAAACAACAGAAUAUUGAGUCGUUCAGAGACCCUUGUGAACACAUCUGAUACUCACAGCAGGUCAUAGUUCAGAUUGCUCAGCUUUAAGAGG